rnacentral:rRNA from 1 species
UAAUUAAAUUUGUUACAAAUAUAAUUAAAUUAUAAUGAUAAUAAAGCAUUUAUUGGCUGAGUAAUGGAGAUUGAAAUUUAAUAAAUGGAAAGAAGUACUGUAAGGGAAACAACGUAUUUAUAUUAACAUUAGCUAUAAGUUUAUGUGUACCUUUUGUAUUAUGGUUUAGCUAAAAUAAAUAUAUAUAGUUAUAUUUUUAGAAAUUUAAUGAGCUACCUUAAAUAGAAUUUUUAGAUUUAUAGAAAUAAAUGUUGCAAAAUUUUACUUAAAAAUUAAGGUUGUAGUGAAAUACUAUUCGCAUUAAAUGAUAGCUAAUUCUUUCUGAAAUAUAUAUAAGUAUAGUUUUAAAUAUUAAUAAAUAUAUAUAUAUAUAUAUAUGUAUAUGUGUGUUUUGUAAUAUAUAUAUUAUAAUUAAUUUAGAACUUAAAUGAUUAAGGAUCAGCUCAAUCAUUAAUUGGAUGAUAUACAUAUAAUAAAUAUGAUUAUGCUUAGGCUUGAAAUCAGAAGUAGUUUAUGAAAUCGUUAUAGAUCAUUUUUUUAUUAAUUUUCUAGAUUUAUAUGUUUAGUUGUUUCUAUUUAUUAUGAGAGUGUAAUAUUUAACUAAUAUUAAAAAUUGUAAUUAUGCUAGAAUGAGUAUUUUGUUGAUGUUUAAUUAAUUUAUAUGAAUGAAUUUAUGUAAAUAUAUAUGAAUUGUUACGAUAAUGAAUUGUGUUAUAAAAUUAGUGAAAGGAAUUCGACAAAUGUUAAUUCUGCCUGUUUAGCAAAAACAUGUCUCUUUGUUUACACUUAUAUAAAGAGUCUAACCUGCCCAGUGAUAUAUUAUUUAACGGCCGCGGUACUUUGACCGUGCAAAGGUAGCAUAAUCAUUUGCCUUAUAAUUGAAGGCUUGUAUGAAUGGUUUAACAAGAAUUAAUUUGUCUCUUGCUAAUUAAAAUGAAAUUGACUUUUAGGUGUAAAGGCCUAAAUGUUACUAAUAGACAAGAAGACCCUAUUGAGCUUGAAAAAUUUAUGAUAAUAUAAGUAUAUUGAGACUGAAAUUAUAAGUUAUUAAGAUUUUUAGUUGGGGUGACUAUUGGAACAAAUAAAGCUUCCAGAGAUUCCAUAAUAUCUGAUGUUAAUUUAUUUAAAUUGGAUCCAAAAUAUUUUGAUUAAUAGAAUAAGUUACCAUAGGGAUAACAGCAUAAUCUAUCUUAAGAGCUCUAAUCGAAAGAAAGGUUUGUGACCUCGAUGUUGGAUUAAAAUAUCCUAAGGGUGUAAAAGUUCUUAAGGGUUGGUCUGUUCGACCAUUAAAAUUUU